CUCUUUCUCUCAAAAAUAAAUAAAAACUUUAAAAAUAAAUAAAAUGUAAAGUUAUGUUUCAAAUAUUUUUAUUCCUGUAUGUAGAUAAUUAUAUGCAAUUGGACAAACAUUAUAAUCAAUUUUAUGGUAUAUAGAUUACUAGGUUAAUUAGAAUAUCAAUUAUCCUGAAUGUAUCCCCACCCCAUGUCCGCCAUUUGAAUCAAUGAGAGGUAUUUGACUAAAUGAAUAUUUCUUUGUAAAGAUCCACUGUGUUCAAGGCAUGUCUUGAUAACAGACAUAAAGAAAUGAAUUAGACACAAUCCUUGCCCUGAAAAGUUCUUAUCACAUAGAAGUUACAGUCAUGUAGCUAAUUAGGUGCAACACAACAAUAAUGCAUUGUUAGAGGCAGUGCAAAAGGAACUAAAAAGCAUAUGCAGAUCUGCCUAGUCCUCAGUGAAGGCUGGGAUUUGAACAAGGCUUCUGAAAAAUAAGAGCUAAAUCACCAGAUAUAGCCAUUUUUGCUAAAGAAUAAAUGGGGAUUAGAUGUCAUCUUAGAACCACUGACAUUUGCCAAGCUUCAAAGGAAAGACUCACCAUUCCUGAGCUAUUUUGGUGCAGGAGCACUUGUCUACAAUAACUGAUUAUCUCUGCCACGUCAUCUCCCUGAGACCAAGAAGAUCAAAUGAGUUUAAAUCAAAUGUCUCCAGCUAGGUUGGCUGGCAACUAUCCAUGAAGCAAAUUACUGGAGAAAGUCUCAUCUAAGAACUCAGAAGAAACAAAAUUAUUUUUCCUCCUCUACAUUAGCUUGUAUUAAGCCUCUGUCGUUCAUUCACCACAUAACGUGUAAUGACAUUGAACUGAUUCCAUGGUGCUUUCCUCCAUCACUUGAUGUGUGUAUAAGAACCCCCAGGCUUCAAGUAGGAGGGAAAAGAAUAUCCUUAGAAGAAGAGCACUGAUGACUGAAAUAGAUAUUCAGAUUGGUGACUCCAAGAACUUUUACUACUAUUUACCAUCAAUGAACUCUUCAUAUCCUCAUGGAACAAAUGACGUUUCAGAGAAUUGGAAUAGCUUCAACAACUACUUCUUUCAGAACACUGACCUUCCAUGGUUUACUUACAUCCUAGACCUGGCUUCAUUUCCAAUUCCACAUUUCUACCUCCCUACUCCCAUCCCCAAGCUUUCCUUUCAUCACAGUGAAGGAAGCAGACCAACUUUUUGCCUUCAUACAGUUCUUGUGUUGGUUGAGAAACAGGUAUUAUAUACAUAAACAAAUAGGUUUACAACAUCGUAUGGUGAUUAAUGCUAAGGGAAGUACUAAUUUAGACAGGGUUAUCUGAGGAGACCUCUUAGAUAAAGUAUCAAAAUAUAAAUAUAAUGAGAAAGAAAAGCAUGCAAGUGUCUAGGAGAGAAAUUUUCCAAGGAAACAACAUGCCCAGAGGCCCUGAGGUAGGAUAUACUUUCAAAGUUUUAUCAUUUUCCUUAAACUACUCUAUCCUCAUACUUUUAUGCAACCAAUCCUAACUCCUACACAUUCUUCAUGAAGAUUUCUCCAGUUAUUGCCAUACAUGCUGAAUAAUUCUUUUUCUGAACUUCUGCAGAAAUAAUGGCCUUCAGAACACAUUCUUUAAUACAGUGAACACUCUCCACAUACACCCAUUUUCUCUACUCACACUGUGACUUCCUUAAUAAAAAAAACACAUUUAUUGUACUCUAUUAAUUUAGAGAAAUAAGAUUCAGGGAACAUUAUUACUGAUAACACCUAACAUAUGGGAUACUUUAUAAUAUUACUAUAAUAAUGUAGAAGAAUUUUACCUUUACUUAAAAAGAAAUGUGAUUCAUUACAUUUACAUUACAUUACGCUCCCUGUCUUUAUGAAAAACAUCAAAUUGGUAGGGAUUUAAUAAUGUUAAAAUUGCUUUGAAAAGAGAAAUUUGGAAGAGUUAUGUUUCCAUUAUAUGUAUACAUGUGUUGGGAAACAUCAUCAAAAAGAUGUGACCACCAAUUGACCAGUAAAUUGGACUUGGGCAUUUGGAGUCUCCUCCCUCCCUCCCCUGUCCUUGGAAUGUGGUUCCACUUCCCUUUCCUGCUCCCAGAUGCUGCUCCAAAAACAGAGCCUUGAGAUGGUGGUGUGGUGUUGAAAAUACUUCUGUGGUAUACAUGACUGAGCCCAGUUAGGGCCUCUUUAUAAACUUAAGACCUGGUGGACAGAUGCAGGGAUCCAUUCAUCUUGGUGCUGCUCAAUACUCAGUAUGUAAAUUCCCUUUGCUAUUAUAAAAAUUUCCACCUACAAAUAUAGUGAUAUGACUUUCUUUGGUCUCUCCCUGCCCUCUGGAGUACAGGGGCCAGUUUCAGAUUAUACCUGGGAAGCUGCCAGGAAGGUUAAAAGCCAACAAUAUGCUAUACAUACUUAUUUAUAAUCAUAUAUAACAAAUAUACAAACACAUUUAUAUAAUUUUGAUAUUUAUUUUAAUAUUUUCCAAAUGAGGUAAUAUCUAACAUUUACUAAGCAUUUGAUAGCUUUCAAAAAACAUUCACAUAUGUUAUCAAAUAAGAGUCUCAAGGCAACCUGUGAAUUAUUAAGCAGGGUAUUAUUUUGUUAUCAUCAGAUGAGUUAAGUGACUUGUCAGAGAUCCUGUACCUGGUAAGUGACAGAAAUAUGGUCCCUAAGCCAUUGUUCUUUCUACUAUAAACCAGAAAUUACCUAAUGAUCUGUUUCUUCUGAUUACUUUAUCAUUCUGCCUUUUCUAUUGAGAGACAAAGAGAAUGAGAGAAGGAGUGAUAGUUAAAUAUUGAGGCUUAUUUUAGAUAAUAUUUACAGUAUCUGUAGUGGGUCAGGUGUACAAUUCUUACUCAGUUCUUGAACUGAGUAUGGAAAGUCCAGUUGCUGGCAACUCAUAGGUUCUUAAUAACUAUUUGCUGAUGAAUGAAAGUGUUGUCAUAUUUUUCUAACUUGAGUGUUUUUUUAAGAUACUCUCUCAUGUUAAAGAGAUUUCACUUUUUUCACCUUUGAUGGACUAAAACCUAAAGGCUUCACAAAAAACUAUUAGAAUAAGUGAAUUCAGUAAAGCUACAGAAUACAAAAUUUAA